rnacentral:rRNA from 1 species
GAUGAACGCUGGCGGCGUGCUUAACACAUGCAAGUCGAACGAGAAAUGGAGACGGAAACCUACGGGCGGAAGGCUUCAUUUCGAGUGGCGGACGGGUGAGUAACGCGUGGGUAACCUGCCUCAUACAGGGGGAUAACAGUUGGAAACGACUGUUAAUACCGCAUAAGACCACAGCACCGCAUGGUGCGGGGGUAAAAACUCCGGUGGUAUGAGAUGGACCCGCGUUCGAUUAGCCAGUUGGCGGGGUAACGGCCCACCAAAGCGACGAUCGAUAGCCGAUCUGAGAGGAUGACCGGCCACAUUGGGACUGAGACACGGCCCAAACUCCUACGGGAGGCAGCAGUGGGGAAUAUUGCACAAUGGGGGAAACCCUGAUGCAGCGACGCCGCGUGAGUGAAGAAGUACUUCGGUAUGUAAAGCUCUAUCAGCAGGGAAGAAAAUGACGGUACCUGAGGAAGAAGCCCCGGCUAACUACGUG